GGGGAAUAUUGCGCAAUGGGCGAAAGCCUGACGCAGCGACGCCGCGUGAGGGAUGAAGGUUCUCGGAUCGUAAACCUCUGUCAGAAGGGAAGAAACCGCACCGUGCUAAUCAGCGGUGCAUUGACGGUACCUUCAAAGGAAGCACCGGCUAACUCCGUGCCAGCAGCCGCGGUAAUACGGAGGGUGCAAGCGUUAAUCGGAAUUACUGGGCGUAAAGCGUGCGCAGGCGGUUUUGUAAGACAGUGGUGAAAUCCCCGGGCUCAACCUGGGAACUGCCAUUGUGACUGCAAGGCUGGAGUGCGGCAGAGGGGGACGGAAUUCCGCGUGUAGCAGUGAAAUGCGUAGAUAUGCGGAGGAACACCGAUGGCGAAGGCAAUCCCCUGGGCCUGCACUGACGCUCAUGCACGAAAGCGUGGGGAGCAAACA
rnacentral:rRNA from 1 species